AUGUACAUCUGGGCACUCUGGGCAUGGCUCCAGCCAAUCAGCCAGGCUUAUCCUCCCACAGCUUCUCACAAAAGCCUGCUCGCUUGGAGCAGAUGGCAGUGCCAAGACGGAGGCUCCACCGAGAUGGAGGCCACCCAUGGGGCUGGUGCUGCAAGAAUGCUGCUGCUCCUUCCAAACGCCCCUUAUCCUACUCCCGUCUGUAAGGCACGCUGCUUGCCUCAGCUCCUAAAGGAGAAAGGAGCAGAAAAGGGCCAAGUGCCUGGAAAGAAAUGCCUGGAUAUUAAUCUCCUCUCUUUAGAGAUUUAAUACUGCAUCACUUUACAGCCAAUAAUUAGUUAAGGUGCUGCCUUAGUCAGGAAAUACGGGGAGAAGGACCAGUUCAUGAUUUAAACGAAAAGGUUUUACCUAUGACCAAAAGCACUCCAGGACCAAGACCUCGCUCCAGCUGCCCAGGUGUGUGGCUCAGAUAACGAAUGUGUCUCUCCUAAACUGACGUUGCAUGACAUGUCUAAACAGACAGGCCUUCGGUUAAGGAGGUUUUGUUUCCUACUGUUCUGUACCUCUGCCUUCCCUGUACUUUCUCAGGUUAGGUCAUUAAAAAAAAAAAUUGUACCAAAAAAAUGUACUAGAAACUAUUGAUUUCUGUUGUGCUAAAGCCCCUGACAUUCCGGCGCGAUGAAGAUAUUGCUGUGGACCUUGUGAGCUUUCUCAUACUUCUCUUCUGCUUAUGAGGGUCUCUGAGGAUGGUAUUAAAGAUAUUGUAGUUCCCACUUUCUGACUGUGGGAUAUCAGCAGGGUCUCUCCUGUGUAAAGAAUAAUUAUCAGCACUGCUGUUACCUCUAGUAAGUGUGUAAUUACAUGCUCGGUUUUGUGGGCUCUAGGCUGUGCAAUUUUAAAUUAUACAAUGUCAAAUUCUCCCUCCCUCCCUCUCCCUCUCUCCCUCUCUUUUUUUUUAUUUGAAAGGGGAGG
rnacentral:lncRNA from 1 species